rnacentral:rRNA from 1 species
GAUGAACGCUAGCGACAGGCUUAACACAUGCAAGUCGAGGGGCAUCAUGAGGUAGCAAUACCUUGAUGGCGACCGGCGCACGGGUGAGUAACGCGUAUGCAACCUGCCCGAUACCGGGGUAUAGCCCAUGGAAACGUGGAUUAACACCCCAUAGUACUUUUAUCCUGCCUGGGAUGGGAGUUAAAUGUUCAAGGUAUCGGAUGGGCAUGCGUCCUAUUAGUUAGUUGGCGGGGUAACAGCCCACCAAGACGAUGAUAGGUAGGGGUUCUGAGAGGAAGGUCCCCCACAUUGGAACUGAGACACGGUCCAAACUCCUACGGGAGGCAGCAGUGAGGAAUAUUGGUCAAUGGACGUAAGUCUGAACCAGCCAAGUCGCGUGAGGGAAGACUGCCCUAUGGGUUGUAAACCUCUUUUAUAAGGGAAGAAUAAGUUCUACGUGUAGAAUGAUGCCUGUACCUUAUGAAUAAGCAUCGGCUAACUCCGUGCCAGCCGCCGCAGUAA